CGGGAAAAGCUCAAAUUUAAAAUCUGGCGGUCUCUGGCCGUCCGAGUUGUAAUCUAGAGAAGUAAUGCCCGUGCUGGACCGUGUAUAAGUCUCCUGGGAUGGGGCGUCAUAGAGGGUGAGAAUCCCGUCUUUGACACGGACUACCAGUGCAUUGUGGUAUGCUCUCAAA
rnacentral:rRNA from 1 species